rnacentral:rRNA from 1 species
GACGAACGCUGGCGGCGUGCUUAACACAUGCAAGUCGAACGGAAAGGCCCUGCUUUUGUGGGGUGCUCGAGUGGCGAACGGGUGAGUAACACGUGAGUAACCUGCCCUUGACUUUGGGAUGACUUCAGGAAACUGGGGCUAAUACCGGAUAGGAGCUCCUGCUGCAUGGUGGGGGUUGGAAAGUUUCGGCGGUUGGGGAUGGACUCGCGGCUUAUCAGCUUGUUGGUGGGGUAGUGGCUUACCAAGGCUUUGACGGGUAGCCGGCCUGAGAGGGUGACCGGCCACAUUGGGACUGAGAUACGGCCCAGACUCCUACGGGAGGCAGCAGUGGGGAAUAUUGCACAAUGGGCGGAAGCUUGAUGCAGCAACGCCGCGUGCGGGAUGACGGCCUUCGGGUUGUAAACCGCUUUCGCCUGUGACGAAGCGUGAGUGACGGUAAUGGGUAAAGAAGCACCGGCUAACUACGUG